CAGUAGCCGCGGUAAUGCGAAGGGGGCUAGCGUUGCUCGGAAUGACUGGGCGUAAAGGGCGCGUAGGCGGUUUUGACAGUCAGAUGUGAAAUUCCUGGGCUUAACCUGGGGGCUGCAUUUGAGACGUCAAGACUAGGGUGUGAGAGAGGGUUGUGGAAUUCCCAGUGUAGAGGUGAAAUUCGUAGAUAUUGGGAAGAACACCGGUGGCGAAGGCGGCAACCUGGCUCAUUACUGACGCUGAGGCGCGAAAGCGUGGGGAGCAAACAGGAUUAGAUACCCGAGUAGUCCCUGUCUCUUAUAC
rnacentral:rRNA from 1 species